GCAACUACAAUUCAAUGAAACAGACUAGAAGCAUUAAUAUUUUUUAUUCAUUUACCAUCUCCAUGGAUCAAGAAUAAAACAAUGGACUCAAGAAUCCUCCUUUUGCCAGUUUCCAUGACUGGCGUGGUGCAUCUAAACUCAACCAAAUCCAAAUGUCCCAAAUUUCUACUCAAUACAUGACAGCACAAGCAAAGAGUGCUCUUUCUUACCCUUUUCUCCUCUUUGGACCAAGUACAAAAUCAUCACUAUCUCGUUCUUUGAUUUACUACACGGAACUUUGAUGCUUGCUGCAGCACUUUGGAACUCAGAGGUUUCUUUAGACUAGCUGUGGCAGAGACUUAACCUGUUUCCCCCUGGGAAUUUGAUUUUACAUUCCUGUUCGCCAGCGCCUUCUUUGCUCUCUCGGAUGACAAACGGAGCAUUUACCAUCAACCUGCACUUUUGACUCAAGUGUAUGUACUUCAACAUUCUAGUAGAGUUGAUUUAUUAAUUGUAGGAGACAUUCCAAAUACACGAAUCAUGGAAAGAGGUAUAUAAAGGUAGAAUUUACGGGGAACCAAAAAGUGAAAAAGAACAUGUCUAAAAUCACUAUGCGGUUGAAAUCAAGCAAAGACAUAAAUUAAGCAUUAACAUGAUCUGUGAGGUAUGUAGUAAAAGUAUAAACAUAUAAAUCAAAAGCAAAGAUCACAGAAUUCCUCCUCCUAGAGCAAAUAUUGUAUUCUAAAACAUCAAUAUCUGGUUCACCAUAAAACUCAUGUUCACUGAAUCAGGCUACUUUUUAAGUAAAUUCAAGCUCACGAAAAAAUGAAAACAAAAGAACCAAGACUAUGCGAUAUUAUCCCACUAAAGGUGUUUCAAUACUCCAGUCCCACUUGGUUUCGGUCCUCGUAUUAAUUACACUUUACAACUUGUGAGCUAGUUUGGAUCAAACAGUUGCUAAAAGAACUAAACUUUGGAGAAAUCGAUAAGAUGAAACUUGUGUGUCGUAAUCAAGCGGCCCUUCAUAUCGUGUUCAUCUAGUAUUUUAUGAAAAGACUAAGCACAUAGAGAUUGAUUGUCGCUUUGUCAGAUAUUCUCAAGAGAUAUUGUUAUAAAAUUUGUGAAGUAAAGUCAUCAACUUGCAACAUCAAGUCCCUCAUCGGUCCUCGUAUUAAUUACAUUUGUAACAAGCUAGGUACAUAUGAUUUAUAUGCACCAUGAAGAGUAUUAGAAUAUGAGUAGGAAUAUAAAUAGUAUAUCAGAAUAUGAGUAGAAAUAAGAAUAGGAUAUUAGAAUAUAAGUAGGAACAGGAAUAAUAUACAAAACCCCACUUGAAAAAGAAUUGUAAUGUAGUGUCUAUAAAUAGGGUCUCAAUGUAAUUAUAUAGAUACACAUAUCAAUAGUCAUAUUUUUUUCUCUAUUAUUUCUCACACUUAUCAACUUCAAUUGACUCUUGUUGGCAUUCCUAAAAGACGUCUUCAAGUGAGAGAACUUAUAAAUUUGGCUUCAGAUAAUUUUAAUGGGCAAAAUGGUCUAAUGGACCCUUAUACUUAUAAGAGUUUGUAUUUUAGACCCUCUUACUCACCCCUUUGCCAACUGAACCCCUAAACUCAAUAGAACUCAACAUUUUAAACCCUCUUUUCAUCUAGUCAGUGGUGUGUGUAAUACAACCGCUCCACGUUAAUUUCCACGUCAUUUUUAAAUGCUAUGUUAAAUUCUACGUCAUUUUAAAAUGCAAAGUUUGAAUAUCUUUGAUAAAUCCACAAAAAUCCAUUUAUUGCUCUUCAAACUUAAACUUCAAGCUUAUCCACGAAGUGCUUUAAUUUUUCAAUAUCCACUAUCACUCAUUUUCAAUUCAAGUUCAAAUUUUAACCCCAAAAAAAUGAAAAGUUUGAAUUGGGAAAGUGAUUUGCAAAAAGAAAAAUAAAAAAAUGAAUCUCAAAUAAAGGGGAAGGAAAUUUCAAAUAAGGAAGAUAUAUUGUUAUUUUCUUUUGGGUGCGAUGGGGGUGGGGGCUGAAGAAGAAGAGCAGUGGAGUGGGUGAUGUGGACGGGGGUAGGGAAGACGUGGUGAGUACAAAGAAGUACAGAGAGUGGGAUAGUUAAUAAAAGAAUAGUGGGUGGUUUGGUGAAGAAGAUGAACAAUAGGGAUGGAGAAUAAGGAAAAAAAAAGUUGGAGAGUGGGUGGGUAGGAGAGUGCCAUAGGAGGUGUGUGUAGUUGGGGGUGGGGGGUGGGGGGGAGGAAGAAGUUUAUUUUUUCCUUUUUAAUUUUUUUUUAUAAUUUUACUAUUAAAAUGGUGUUCACUUGCUCCUAAACGCGUGUAGUCACACGCUUUGUCCAACUCAGCCAUCUUAAUACCACAUAAGCUUGGUCAAUGACCAGAGAGAUUUAAAAUAUUAGAGUUUUAUUGAGUUUAGGGGUUCAGUUGGCAAAGAGGUGAGUAGGAGGAUCUAAAAUACCAACUCAAACAAGUACAAGGAUUCACUAGACCAUUUCGCCAUUUUAAUGUGUUGGGAACUUCUUAUAAAUGUAUGGAUGAAUAUCGAGAAUAAAAAAAAGGGCAGCCCGAUUCACUAAACCUCCCGCUAUACGUAGGUCCAGGGAAAGGCCCCACCACAAGGGUGUAUUGUACGCAGCCUUACCUUGCAUUACUGCCACAGGCUAUUUUCUAGACUUAAACUUGUGACCUCCUAGUCACAUAGCAGCAACUUUACCAGUUACUCCAAGGCUCCCCUUCUAAGAUGAAUAUCGAGAAUCUAAAAAAAAAAAAAAAAAAAUCAAGAGGCUUUUGAUAUGGUGAGCUUAAAAAAUGGUAGAGGCUUGCAUCAAAAACUUGAUAUUUCUAGAGCUAGUGACCACACAUCAAAUUUUUUAAUUGUUUUACUCUUUAGUUUAAUAUAAUUAUAGAUAUACUUGAUAAUAUUGUUGAAACUGCACAUUCUAUGGAAGAAAAAUCCAAGACAACAAAAUAUAUUAGAGUUGCUCAAACGUAUAAGGUUGCAUUCAUGCUAUCCUCUUGAAUUUCGUUUGGCGAAAUUUGCUUUGCUUCUGCCAGUUGCCAUUGCAUCCGUUGAAAGAACUUUUUAGGCAAUGAAGUUAUUAUGGUUCCUUUAUGGAAAAAGAUGUGUUUAGUGAUGUUUCAACUGAUGAUUUUGUUUUAUUUUUUCAAGCAAUGAAACUUUGUCGAGUGGUAUGUAAAUGUCCUUGGGAAGUAUUAGCAGUGAUAUCUUUUUGGAGUUUGUACUUAACACCCUAGAUAUAGAUUGAUACAUUGUGAAGGCAUAACUUUUUGCUCUACUUAGCACCGUAGUUCUAGAUUGACACAUUGUAAAGGGCUAAUGUUUUGCAUUACUAAAAUUACUCCUGUUUGUUCCAAGUAGUUUGUGACAGAACUAAUAUUUUGUAUAUAUAGACUAUAUACUAUUGCAUCCAUUGAAAUUGUGGUUUGUUGGCUUAUUUGCACGUUUAUAUUUUUAUUUUUCGAAUCCUCUGAGAGAAAAUUCUGGAUCCGCCAUUGCCUUAAAAACAAACAAAUCCCAUUUUUAUCUUCCUUCAACUCUCGCAACCUUCUCUUGGCAACUUCAAUAAGUAGCAUGGUAUUGGCAAUAUCUACUCUUUUUUUGUAAGCAUGCACUAAGAUUGUUUGUUAUUCCUAAAAUCUUUCAUCAAAUGCAAGAUGAAUGUAACCUCAUAGGUUUGAGUAGCUUUAAUAUAUCUUGUCACCCUGGAUCUUUCAACCAAAGAAUAUGCAGUUUCAACAAUAUUAUUAAAUAUAUCUAUAAUUGUAUCAAACUUAAGAAUAGGACAAUAAAAAGAUUUGAAGUGAGAUGCCCAACGAGUAUCCUAAGCUCUAGAAAUAUUAUGUUAUUGAUGCAAGCCUCUUCCAGUUUUAAGCUCACCCAAAAAAAGUUUCUAACACAUUAAAAAUAUAUGAAACCAAGUUCUCACACUUGAAGACAUCUUUUAGAAACACCAAUAGGAGUUAACUAAAAUUGAUGAACAAAACAAAGAAUGGAAUAAGUCGAUCUAUUUACUUUCUGAAUCAACAUGUUAAGACAUUGAUAUCACAUUGCAUAUUGCUUGUUCCAUUAUAGAAUUGUCAUGCACAAAAAUAAACUCAAGGAAUUUUGAGAAAGAAAAUAAAACACUAGUACUUUGACAUGAACAAUGCCAAGAAAUCUCUCUAUCACAAAUCUUCUCCCAUCAACAUAAACAAAUGUCAUUUGCUCCUUGUGUGAAAUAUCAAAAGAUUCAUCAACAAAUAAGGAAAAAGGAAAAGUAGUCUCCAUUUAGUUCCCUUUUAUAAUAGCCUUAAUUAUUUCAGUUUUGCAAGCAAUCACAAUUUCUUUUUGAAUCAUUAGACAAAUCUUUUUAUCAUUUUGAAGAGCAUUUUCCAACACAAAACUACGAAUUUCAUCACACUUUUGAGCAUAAAAUGAAUCUGUUAAGUGAUAAAUGACUCCAACAUAUCAAUCCUUAAUUCGCAAGAAGCUUUACUAUAUCAAUCGAAGCUAUUAAGCAAAUUCGAUGUCCAUGCUUAUCUUGAUUAGAUUGUUUCUCAAAUGAAGCAUCAAUAGAUUGUUGUUGCCGCAUUAGAUACAUUUCGUUUUUGUCUGAUUAUAGAUGCUAGUAGUCCCACCCUCAUGUGUUUCCAAACUAGCCUUUUUGUUCCAACUCCUAAAACCCAAACUCGAAAAUACUUCACCUCCACCUUCACGAUUGUUAUUUCCCUUUAAUAAAUAAUAAUACAAAAGAAGAAAUUGCACCUUUACUUACACUAUACUCUAACAAGGGAAUUCAUCAAACCAUUUACCAUUAAAACGACACUUAUUUCUAGAAAUAUUCGUCUGAGGAAACUCUUUUCAUUGAGGUUGGCUAGGUUUUUCUGAAGAUAAGCUCUACUAAUCAUGUCACAAUGAUUUGGAUAAAAUUCCAAGAUUUGAGUUUUUUCACCCGGAUCAACAGCCAUUAAACAACUUAAACCAAAUUCUAGAAGAAUGCGAUGGUACUUCUUAGUGAUUCACAUUUUCUUCUGGCAUAAUACAAAAGCAUGCCCUUAACUUGACCUCGGUUCACAACGAUGACCUCAAAAUUUGGAUGUGCACAAGUAGACACUUAAACUUGCAUAAAGUUGAACAAAUAGACACAUGCAUCCUAUGUGACAUAAUACAUGUUGGACGCCAUGUAGGACCUGAAUUGGCCACGUAAGAUGCCACAUAGGAUAUAUGCAUGUACUUGUUCAACUUUAUACAAAUUUAAGUGUCUACUUGUGCACACCCAAAAUUGGAAGGACACAUUUAUGUAUUACGCCGUUUCUUCCCAAUUAGGUUGACUGUGAGCAACAAAACUUGAAUUUGAUACCUAAGAAAAAUACUUUUUCAUUGACUUUUGAAUCUAUAUAAGAUAUAAAAAGUGUAUAGUUUAUAAAUUAAUCAUAAGUCUGACCAAAUUUGUCUGUGGUUCCAGACUUCCAAUUAAAUAGUAACAGUUUCAAUUCUCUACUCUCUACUAAACAACUGGGAAACAACAACGGUGGCUGCUAAAGUGACGGUAUUAGGCAACAACACUAUAGCAUAGACCUUCAAAACUAGUACAGCCUUUAAAAAAUGGAGACUCAUUUGUUAUGUAAAACUUUUGCUGCAAAAUCUGACUUUAAUUUCAAGAAAAUUGAAAGGAGGGAAAGGGUUUUAACUUAAGGUGAAGAAAAUGAUUCUAGGAAUUGAGUCUUUUAAUUUUCGGGAUUAAAAAUCCCUAUUCCAACACUUUUUUUUUAAAUAGUUGCAGUACGUAGUCCAAUGGCAGACCCACAUGGAGCUCGGGGGUUUCAUCCGAACCCCUCACUCGAAAAAUUAUAGUGUAUAAAAAAAAAAAAGGGCAGCUCAGUGCACUAAAGCUACCGCUAUGCGCGGUGUCCGGGGAAGGGCCCCACCACAAGGAUGUAUCGUACGCAGCUUUACCUUGCAUUUCUGCCAAACCUAUUUCCAAGGCUUGAACCCAUGACCUCCUGGUCACAUGGCAGCAACUUUAACACAUAUUGUGUGUAUAUGUGGAUUAAAUUUGCAGGUUAGGUAUAUAUCACAUAUUGAACCCCCUCAACACAGCAUUAGUGCACAGUUCAACGAUUAAGGGGGUUCAGAUUUCCCCCAAAUGUUACGAGUCAAAUCUCGUUGGGUGGAUAGGCCUGUGAAGUUGUGUUAUCUACUAAUAUUACGCCAUUAUUGACAUCACCUUCUUUCCCAUUUUUCCUGUUAAAAUUACUCUUUGUCAACUUUUUCAAAUAGUUUUAUAUUACAAGUUUAUGGGUUUCUUUAAAAUGCUAAAUUAAUAUAUAAUAAAAAUUUAGUCAAUAAAUUGACUUCAAAGUAGAUAGUAUUAUAUAUUUAGUAAACUUUUUAAUAAAAUUAUUAAAUUUAAGCUCGCUUAUAUAUGAUCCGACCCGUUCAUAUCUAAUUCGACCUUUAAUUUGCGAACACUAUUAGCAUGUUUACUUACUUUUUUCGAAUCCCCUGAACGAAAAUUCCAGAGUGUAGCCUACGGGAUUCGAACCUAAAACUCUGGGGUUCAUUAAGAAGGCCCAAUAUCAUUGAGCUAUCUUUCGUUUUUGGUUCAUGAGGUUAAAAAGUAAUGUAUGAACAUAAAUAUAGAAAAGCUAACCUAGAAUGUGCACUGGUUCAUUUCAUAGGCAUACUUUAUAUACAAUGUAUUUUUUUAUCGAGGGGGUUCAAGUGAAUCCCCCACUGCACUGCUAGGGUGGCUAUUGGGUUGGUUGGGUCAAAUUUGGAUAGGGUAAAACGGCUUAAGAUAACAAAUGGGUCGAGACCCAACCCAAUCCAAAUUUGCUUGGGUCAGGUCAGGUAAUCGGUUAUAACCCGACCCGCACAAUUUUUACCAAGCUUAUUUGCUUUAUUUACUCUUUUAUAAAUUUUUAAUACUUAAUAAAAUUAUUUUUUCUUUAUUAUGGAAAUAUAUAAAAUAACAAAUAAAAAAUUAUUUAAAAAUAUAUUGACAAGAUUUCUCAAAAACCAAUUUGGGCUACAUAUCAACCCAAUUUUUUAAGGAGAAAUUUCAUUAUAUACAAAAAAAAUAUAUAGUUUACAACAAAAAUAGCCAAAUUUUUAUUUACAACAAAAAUAACCAUUAGGCCAUUUUUUUUCCUUUUCCUUUUCUUUCGCAAUAGUAAUUUUAAUAAAAGAAACAUUUUUAUUGUUUUUUUGUUGCAAUUUUCUUCAUCAAAAAAAACUUUUUCCUUUUUUUUUAAGAACCUUUUUCGUACAACCUUUUAUCAUGUAUCAAUAUUGUAUAAAUGGUGUAUAAACAUGUAUAUAUGAAAUAUAAAAAGUUAUGUAGUGUGUAUGUAAUGUAUCGAUAUAGUAUAAAUAAUGCACAAACGUGUAUCAAUAUUGUAUAAACGAUAAUCGAUAUUGUACAAAUAAUGCACAAAUAUGUUCGACAUAGUAUAAAUGGUGUAUAAACAUUUAUCGAUAUUGCACAAAUAGUGCACAAACGUGUAUCCAUAUUGUGUAAAUGUGUAUAAACGUUUAUCAAUGUUGUAUAAAAGUUAUGUAUCAAUAUUAUAAAAACGGUAUAUAAACGUGUAUUGGUACAUAUCAACAUACACUGAUUGUCUCUAGACCCCACAAUUCACCUAAACAAUUCCAUUUCUCCUUCACACCAUUAAUACCAAACUACUCCACUCCAAUUCUGAUCCAUUGGAGAAACACACAAACAACAACACUACACAAAAAAUCAGCCAAAAAGAUUCAAUUCACCAAUAUACUCCCUGCGGGUCACAUUAGGAUAUAUGAAAACAUAAAUAUCCCUUCAUUAGAAGUCAAAAUUUUUAGAUGGCAUGGUAUACACCAAUUUACAAAACACAAUAUUAUUACUAUUCGAUGGAUUUGUGUGCCACCCGUUAAAUGGCUUCUCUUGUUUCUUUUCAUUCUUUCUGAAACUGAAUCAGCCAGUAAUAUUCCUUCACUCCAUUUGUGAGAAAUAAUGGAGAAAAUAUUAUUGAAUUGUAUGUCACAACAUUAGACUCUUUUUUCAACUAGGAUUCUAUAUCUAAGUUGAUAGGACUUUCCAAUAAUAUUGUCGCACCCGUGGCGAAUCCUUCAAAAAUACACUAUUUUUUAAGGAUCUGACACACACUCGAAGACAUUUUUGAAGAGUCCGAGCAACUUACAACAACAACAUGCCCAGUGUUAUCCCACAAAGUGAGGUCUGAGGAGGGUAAUGUGUACGCAGUCCAAAUCAUUACCUCAGAUGAAGUAGAAAGGUUUUCGAUAGACCCCUGGCUCAGGACAGAGAACAGUAUAACAAACAAAAAACAUAAAACAUAAUAAUAUAAACACAUUGUUAUCUAAUUAUGACAACAAGACAACCACAAGAUAAUACUAUAAAUUAUCCAUUCGAAAUCAUAGAUAUCACUGAAACACCAUGAACAAGAAACUCCAGACACAGAUACAAACAAAACACUCUUCCCUACUGUUACGGACGAACUCCUACCCACUAAUACUCUACCCUAAUUCGCAUCCUCCAUACCUUCCUAUUAAGAGUCAUGCCCUUCAUAAGUUUUAACCACUCCUUAUUAUGCCUAUCACCUCCCUCCAACAUUUCUUCGACCUACCUCUACCCCAUCUAAAAUCAUCUAUAGUCAGUCUCUCAUAUCUCCGUAUUGGAGAAUCUGUGCACCUCCUCAUCAUAUGCCCGAACCAUCGUAACCUCACUUCCCGCAUCUUUUCCUCUACCGAAGCCACUCCCACCUUCUCCCGAAUAUAUCUCAUUUCUAACCCUCUCCCUCUUAGUAAGUUUACACAUCCAUCGCAACAACCUCAUCUCCACCACCCGUCAACUUUUGGAUGUGAGAGUUCUUAACUAGCCAAUACUCUGCUCCAUACAACAUAGUCGAUCGACUGUCACUCUGUAGAACUUACCUUUAAGUUUAGGAGGCACCUUCUUAUCACACAAGACUCCCGAAGUAAGCCUCUAUUUCAACCACCCUGUACCAAUACGGUGCGUGACACCCUCAUCAAUCUCACCAUUUUCCUGAAUCAUAGACCCAAAAUACUUGAAACUUUCACUCUUCUGAAUGGCCUGAGAAUCCAGCUUCACAACCACGUCAGCCUCGUGUGACAAAUCAAUAAACUUACAUCCCAGGUACUCUGUCUUGGUUCUGCUCAACCUAAAUUCUUUAGACUCAAGGGUCUGUCUCCAAAUCUUCAGUUUAUCAUUAACUCCUCCCGAGUCUCGUCAAUCAGUAGAACAUCAUCAACAAAUAGUAUACACCAAGAAACCUCCCCUUGAAUACACUGUGUCAAAACAUCUAUCACCAAAGCAAAUAAAAAUGGGCAAAGAGUCGAUCCCUAGUGCAAACUUGUCAAAAUAGGAAAGUGCUCUGAAUCUCCUCCUACUGUCCUCACAAAAGUCUUCGCCCCAUCGUACAUGUCCUGAAUCGACCUAGUGUAUGCCACGAGCAUCCCUUUAACUUCCACAAAAUCUCUAUGGGACUGUGUCAUACGCCUUCUCAAGAUCAAUGAACACCAUACGCAAGACCUUUUUCCUCUCCCUAAACUGCUCCACAAAUCUCCUCACGAGGUGAAUGGCCUCAGUAGUUGAGCGACCUGACAUGAAAUCGAAUUGAUUCUUGAAAAUAGUCACAAUCCUCCAAAGCCUCUACUCUACCGUCCUUUCCCAAACCUUCAUAAUAUGACUCAACAACUUGAUACUCCUAUAGUUGUUGCAACUCUGAAUAUCCCCCUAGUUUUUAUAUAAGGGAAUCAUUGUACUCCAUCUCCAAGCUUCGGGCAUCUUUGCUGCCUUAAAAAUGAUGUUAAACAACCUUAUUAGCCACUCCAGACCUGCCCUGUCAGUGCUCUUCCAAAAAUCCACCGAAAUCUCGUCUGGCCCAGUCGCCCUACUCCUACGCAUCCUAUUAAAAACCCCCUAGACCUCCUCAACCUUGAUACACCUACAAUAACUAUAAUCAUGACACCUCUAUGAGUUCUCAAAGUCCCCCACAUGAAACCUUUGUCUCCCUCAUCGUUCAAAAGUUUAUGAAAAUAUAACUGCCAACUCUUCCUAAAGAGGGCAUCCUCAACCAACACUUUACCAUCCUCUCUUUUGAUGCACUUCACUAGAUCAAAGUCACGAGCCUUCCGCUCCCUGGCCUUCGCAAGCCUAGACAACUUCUUAUCCCCGCCUUUCUCCUUUAAAGUCACAUACAAACUCUCAAAAGUUGUUGUCUUAGCCGUCAUAACGCUAACUUAGCCUAUCUUCUACCUAACUUAUACUCCUGCCUAUUCGUCUACCUCUCAUCAUUCUUGCUCUCAACCAACUUAACGUAUAUCACCUUCUUAGUCUCCACCUUCUUCUUAACUUCUUAGUUCCACCACCAGUCCCCCGGUGCUUGCCAGAUCGGCCUUUUGAGACACCCAACACCUUUCUAAAGGUCUCCAUAAUGCAACUGGCAGUUGUCUCCCACAUACUAUCCACAUCCCCUCUCUCUCCCAAGCCCCCGUAGUCGUCAACUUCUCCCCUAUUUUCAAAACACUAGCCAAAGUCGAGCUACCCCACUUAAUCGUGGGCCGAUCCUCCACACCCCUCUUCUUUCUACCCUUUUUGAUUACCCAAUCAAUCGCCAACGACUUAUGUUGGGUCGAAAGAUUCUCGCUAGGUAUAACUUUACAGCCUUUACAUAGCACUCUAUUACCUUUCCUAAGGAUAAAAAAAAUUAUCUGGGUCUUGACCAUCGAACUACGAAAGGUAAUAAGGUGCUCAGUUCUAUAUAACAUUCCGAUUCCUACUCAUAUUCUAACACUCCCCCUCAAGUUAGUGCAUACAAGUCAUAUGUGUCAAGCUUGUUACAAAUGUAAUUAAUACGAAGAUCAAUGAGAGACUUGGUGAAAAUAUCUGCAAGCUGAUCACUCAAUUUCACAAACUUUGUAAUAAUAUCUUUGGAAAGUAUCUUCUUUCUCACAAAGUGACAAUAAAUCUCAAUGUGUUUGUACUCUUAUGAAAUACCGAAUUUUAUGCAACAUGAAGAGCCGCUUGGUUGUGACACACAAGUUCCAUUUCACUAAUUUUUCCAAAUUUUAACUCUCUCAACAACUGUUUGAUCCAAACUAGCUCAUAAGUGGCUAGCGUCAUUGCUCGAUAUUCUGUUUCUACGCUAAAUAGAGCAACCACACUUUGUUUCUUACUCUUUCAUGACACCAAAUUACCUCCUACUAAAACACAAUAUCCUAAUGUAGAAAGUCUAUCACAAGGUGAUCCUGCCUAAUUAGCGUCAGUAUAUCUAACAAAUGGCUCAUGACCUCGAUCCUUAAAUAGUAGUCCUUUACCUAGUGCCGACUUAAUAUAUCACACAAUGAGAACACCUGAAUCUUAAUGACUAUCACAAGGAGAAUCCAUAAAGUGAAUUACAACACUCAUAGGAUAUGAAAUGCCAGGUCUGGUCACUGUGAGAUAAUUCAACUUACCAAGUAAAUACCUAUAUCUUCCGGGAUCAUUGAGUGGCUACCCCUAUCCUGGCAGGAGUUUAGUAUUCGAAUCCAUAUGAAUGUCAACAAGUUUACGUCCCAUCAUUCUUGUCUCCUUGAGAAAGUUUAAGGCAUUCUUCCGUUGUGAAAUAAUAAUACCUGAUCUAGACUGAGCAACUUCAACACCUAAAAAAUACUUAAGUGUGUCAAGGUCUUUAGUCUGGAAAUGAUGAAAAAGGUGUUGCUUCAAACAAACUUCUGAAUUACUGUACUGAACUUUUCAAACCAGGCUCGAGGAGAUUGUUUUCGACCAUAAAGUAACCAACACAAUCUACACACCAAACUAGACUCCUCCUAGCAACAAAACCAAGUGGUUUCUCCAUAUAAACUUCCUCCUCAAGGUCACCAUAGAGAAAAACAUUCUUAAUAUCCAACUGAAAAAGAGGUCAGUGUCGAACAAAACUAUAGAUAGAGAAAACGAAUAGAAGCUAUUUUAGAGAAAGUAUCAUUAUAAUCAAGCCCAAAAUCUGAGUGUACCCCUUGGUAAUACGGCGAGCCUUAAGUCGAUCAAUUUGGUCGUCCGAACCAACUUUCACAGCAUAAACCCAGCGACAACCAACGAUUGAUUUACCUGAAGGGAGAGGAACAGCUCCAAGUACCACUCGUAUGUAAAGCAGACAUUUUAUCAAUCAUAGCAUGCCGCCACCGCGGAUGAGAAAGUGCUUCUUUUGUGGACUUACGGAUAGAGACAGAGGACAAAGAUGAUAUAAAGGCAUAAUGUGGUGAUGAUAGACGAUGAUAAAUUAAAAGUGUAUAAUGAGGAUUAGUAUUACGAGUGGACUGUAUACCUUUUCAAAGUACAAUCGAAGGAGAUAAGUCUGUAAUAGGUGUAGGGUCAGGUGUAGGGCGAGAAUCAUCUGAUCCUGAUGUUGUGCGUGGAUGAUGAUGAUAAGUCAGGAGUGGUGGCACUGUAGAUAGAGUUAUAGAAGGCAUUGUAAAUUCCUCAAAAGACUGUGCAUGUAAGACUGGUGGCACUAUGGAAGAAAAUGUGGAAGUAACGGCAGGAUCCUCAAAAGUGGAAAUAGGUAAGACCUCGGGCAUGUUAGGAUGAUCAGAAUCAGAAAAAGAUGUAAAGUAAGAUUGAGACUCAAGGAAUAUGACGUCAAUUGGCAUAAGCUAUCGUGGAAGACCAUGUGAGUAGCAACGACAUCCUUUUAUACUCGAGAAUAGCCAAGAAAGACACAUUUGAGAGCAUGAGGGAUUAAUUUAACUUUUCCUGUGGUGAAGUUAUGAACAAAACAUGUACCCCAAAGACACGAAAGGGAUAAGAGUAGAGAGGUGACUAAGCAAACAAUAUUGAAUCAGGAAUUUGAUUUUGAAUGAAAGAUGAGGGCAUCCAAUUAAUUAAAUAGCAAGAUGCAUUAACUGCAUCACUCCAAAAACAUUGUGGAACAUGGGAAUGAAAGAGAAGAGUGUGAGCAAUCUCGAUAAGGUGCAUGUUCUUCCUCUUUGCUACUCCAUUCUGUUAAGGGGUAUACGAACAAGAAGUUUGAUGAAUAAUUCCUUAAUGAGUCAUAUAUUGCUGAAAUUAUGAGGGCAUAUAUUCUAAGGCAUUAUCACUACGAAAGGUACGAACAGAGACACCGAAUUAAGUUUGUAUUUCAGCAUAAUAACUCUUGAAUAUAGUAAACAAUUCAGAGAGAUCUUUCAUUGAGAAAAAUUCAUGUCCAUCUUGAAAAGUCAUUUAAUGAAGCUAACAAAAUAACGAAACCCUAAGGUAGAACUGAUUCUACAAAGAACCCAAAUAUUUAGAGUGAACUAAGGAAAAGAUAGACUCUGCACGAUUCUUAGUACUACGUUGAAAAGUAGUUCAAGUGUGAUUCUCAAGUUGGCACAACUCACAAUCUAAUGUCGAUAGACUAGACAAAGUAGGCAUCAUCUUUUGUAGUUUGGACAAACUAGGAUGUCCUAAACUAGGUAGAACUGAUUCUACAAAGAACCCAAAUAUUUAGAGUGAACUAAGGAAAAGAUAGACUCUGCACGAUUCUUAGUACUACGUUGAAAAGUAGUUCAAGUGUGAUUCUCAAGUUGGCACAACUCACAAUCUAAUGUCGAUAGACUAGACAAAGUAGGCAUCAUCUUUUGUAGUUUGGACAAACUAGGAUGUCCUAAACGUUUGUGAAUUAAGUCCAAAGAAUCUGUAGUUAGACAUGCUAUGACGAGUUAGGAGAGUCAGGGUAGUAAAGGCCUUGUGAUUUAUAUCCUACACCAAUUGUUUGUCCCGUACUACGGUCAUGCAUGAUAAAAGAGUAUGCCAUAAUUUAUGGCACGAGUUAACCGACUGACCGAUGCAAGAUUAAAAGGACAGACAAGGACAUAAAGAACAAAAUUUAAAGUGAAAGAGGAUAGUGGAGUAGCUUGUCUUACUCCUUUUGCUUUAGUUUGGUUACCAUCGACUAAAGUGACAGUUGGAAGAGAUUGUGAAUAAACGAUAUUUGAUAGAAGUGAUUUAUCACCAGAAUGUGAACAGAAGCGCCAAAGUCCACAACUCAUGAUCCAAAGGCAGGAGAUUGUGCAGUUGAGACUACUGAUAAGGAUAUCUGCUUACUUGCUCGAUAUUGGAGAUACUCAUUAUAUUCCUUUUACAGAUAAAUAUUCAUUGAUUACAUGUGGUGUUAGACUGAGAAACAUGAGCAUUUUUAGGUGGUCAACCAUGCAAAGAAUAACAUAUUCCACGAGUAUGUCCAAGCCUAUUACAAUAACUAUACUUGGGUCGAGAUUUCCAAAACGACCUCCCCCUCAUCGAUUUUUCAUGGACUGGGACGUUUGAUUUUGUGAUCUCCUCAUUAAGGGUUCGGAAGUAAUCAUAAGGCUUGAACUUCCAAUUCCCGUAUUUUUGGAGCCAAAAGUAUCACACCCAAAAAACAUUGUGAAAUCAGAAUUUUGUAGCCAAGACAUUCUAGAAAUCUGAAAAAAAUAUUGAUGUCACCGAAAAACUCUGAAAGUCACUAAAACCCUAACUCCAAAGGUUUAAAUCUAGAAAAUAUGUCGGAAUUUGGUCGGAAGACCUAGGAGACUACAAUAGAUAAAGAAAAACCAUGAAACUCAAUCUAAAUCUCCCGGCACGUGACAAAGGUCUCCCAAAAAAUGAAAAUGCACUGCCGUUGGCGCGACUUAAUGUUUUUGGUGGUUUUGGUUGGGGUUUUGUCGCUUGAAAAUUUUGAGCCUCUUGAUAGUGUUGGUUUUCGCACAACACUCACAAAUUAGAAGAUGACACAAUCGAUUGUACAGUAGCCGGAAUCUGACUAAAUUUUUCAAAUGUUUCUCACCGAUGCUCUAAUACCAUGCGAGAAAUAAUGGAGAAAAUAUUAUUGAAUUGUGUAUCUAAAUUAUUAUAUUGAAACCCUAUUUAUAGACACUACAUUAGACUCCUUUUUCAACAAGGAUUCUACAUAAUAUCCCUAUUCCUACUCAUAUUCUAAUUGUGUAUCUAAAUUAUUAUAUUGACACCCUAUUUAUAGACACUACAUUAGACUCCUUUUUCAACAAGGAUUCUACAUAAUAUUCCUAUUCCUACUCAUAUUCUAACACCAUUAACAACCAAUACCAUGAAUAACCACCUUGAUUAAUUCUCCGAACACUGGCUGGGAAAACAGCAACACCCAUUUCCGGCCAUCACUGAAACAACUAGUCAUCUACCAAAUGAGCCCCACCAUCAACAAUUGUCGACCUUCACUCAACCAAAUCACCCCAACUCCCGGCAAAUCCCCAUCUCCUUGAAAGUUCGACAAAACAUUAACAGCUCCUUGAAAGUGCCUAUCUCCUUGAAAAGCCAACUGACCCUUCCCUAUUAACAACAAAUGAGACUCGCAGAAAAAAUCAAUUGGGCAGUCUGGCUUUCGCAAUUAAAAAUAAAAACAAAAAACAUGAAAUCAAAGGCAGUUGGCCUACUGGCCAUUUUUGUUGUAAUUAAUUUGGCCAAAGAGCUAGAGUUGGUAACAACUUUGGCCAAAAGGCUAUUUUAGAUAAUUAAUGAUAAGUAGGCUAUUUUUUGUGUAAAAAUUUAAGUCAAGUGAUAUUUAUAUAACUUUCAAGUGAUAUUCAUAUAACUUUCCCCAUUUUUAAUGGGUAGAUGGGCAAGUCAAUAACUAACCCAAACUUGGGCGGUUAGGGGGGUUGGGUUUGAUUUUGCCACCCCUACCUGCCGCCCUCCUAGAUCCGCCCGUAUAUGGUAAUCCCUCUAGGGUAAAGAAGUUAUGAUCUUGAUUGUUGAUACUCCACUUGGCCAAUUUCAUAUUCCCACAAUUGAGAAAGACAUGUUUAAAGUGAAGCAACUAUAAUAGCUUAAGAGCAAUACAUUUUCAUAUUGUAAUGUAUUUAAUUUUAUGUAUUGUCAUCUUGUGGAUGUUUGACAAUGUUAUCACGUGUCGAUUCCAAUGGACAUGGUAUGAAAAACGAGUCCCAUUUGCAUCUUUGCAAAUAUCUGAAGGCCAAUGUGAAAAAUAACCUAAAUGUCAUGGAUUGGGGACUUGAGUAUCUGUUAUUAUAGCUUACUAGCUCGUAUCAAUGGCCAAGAAAGAGGUAGAGUGCUAGCUGGACGCAAUCACCACAGUCUUUCCUAACUGACCAAGACUAUAUUUUUCACCUUGAAUGUGUCAUUUGAAAAGUGAUCUUCAUUUGAUAUUUAAAAAAACCUCUCCACCCGAUUGUAAGAACGGUCACUCUUGCCCAUUGGGGGCGUCUAAAACCCACGUGCAGUUGUAUGGGAACGCCAGUCGUUCUUUGCCGACAGAGGCAAGUGUGCCUAUUAGGGAGAACACCACUGUAAAGGAAGGAAUUGCAUCAAAGUCUUUCUAUAACGUAGGAGCAAACAUCCCGACAACUGUGUGCCUUAAAUUGCCCUCCGAAGAGAAAGCUAGACACUUCUGCCAUAAAGGCAUAUCGAAUAUCAUCUUCAAAGCUUUUGAUUACUAUGGGGUUAUGGCCGAAGAGUGUUGAUUCACUAUCAUCGCAAAAUUUCUCAGAACCUAACCUCAAAUAGAGAAAAGUCGAUUGAAAUUUGCCGAAAAGUCACUAUACGAGAUUACAGUUAAGAUUGGUGUUUAUGAUUUUAAAAGAGUUUCUAUAGAUUGUUUAAACAAGGAAGAUUUCACUAAUGUUUGGUUUACAAGAUCUAUUGAAAUUGAAGGUCAAGUUAUGUGGUUAGAAAAAUGGACUCCCAACUUAAAUGGAUGAGGAUUCUCCCAUUUUCCUGUAUAGGUCUUAUUGCCUGGUUUGUCGUUCCAUUGUCACACUUGGAAUUAUGUCAAACAAAUAGCGAGACCUUUGGGCACAUUGCUAUCUAUGGAUUUGGCCAUGGAUAACAAACUAGACAGAGCAUGGCAAAACUGCGGGUUGAAUAGACCUUACUAAGCCCAAGCUUAAUUCGAUUUGGGUUGGGCUUGGAGGAUGAAGCAGACCUAUUGAAAGGACUUACUCAAAAACAUAAAUAAGAAAAUGUUCCUAAAUUUUGUCGACCCCAUAAGUUGCUGGAACACUCUAUUAAUCAAUGUCAACAUGUUGAUUCUAACAAGAUUCUGAAGGAGAGAAUGUUGGUAUGAAAAAAGGGAAGAUGAUCAAUAGAGAUGUAUCCACAAAGAAGCUGGUAACAGGGGAAAUGCAGUUGAGCAAGGAAAAUCCGAGGAAGAGGCAGGGACAGUCAGUUAAAUGAAGCUACAAAAGGCUUUACCAGAGAAAAAGCUACUGGUUCUAAUACAACGGAUGGCCAACAAGAACUCAUUCAACAGGAAGAUCCUGGAAAAAAUGAAACUGCCACUUCCACCAUUGGAAAGUCAGAUAAAGAACCGAAAAUGAAUAAUCCUGGCAAGAAAAUAGAAGAAGAAGGAAGAGAAUGCUGUAAAAAAAAGAGUAAGGUUGCUGACAAUUUGUAUAAAGAGGUUACUAACAAGUAGAGGAAAAGCAUGAAGCCAUUUCUUCCAUAGAGAACAACAAAGGACUGCUAAUUCCAAAAGAACUAAGCAGACAAAUGAUACUCCUCAAUCAGCUUCCAAAUGAUCAAACCCAAUUUUUGGAAUAUUAGAGGAGUUAGAACCAAGAAAGCCAUUCACAGGCUUAAAUAUUUGAUUCAAAUCAAGAAAGCUCAAUUUGUUGUUAUGUCUGAGCCAUUCAUCAACAAAAAUAAGAUAAGUGUUCUACCAAAGAUUUUUGGGAUUCCACUCUUGUCAUGCCAAUGAAAGUGGUCAGCUAUGAUGUUUUUGGAAGAGAAUUUAUCCAGGGAAGUUUUCUUUAUCAUUCCUAUUUAUGCUAAGUACACUUCAGUCGAGGGAAAAAAAUCUUGGGAAAGUUUGGAACUCAAGGAUAACAUUAUAAUGCUCCUUGGUGUAUAAGUGGCGACUUUAAUGUCAUUACCAAGCCAAGUGAAAAGCCGGUCCAGAUUCAAACACAGAAGCGCGUUUCGCGCCUCAGUCCCCGGUCUGCUGCCAGGUCCAGAAAGGGCAAGAUGAGAUCACUUUGAUGGUAGACAAGGCUCGUUUUGUACUUUACUUACGAGCUUGUGUAUUAUUCACCCCGAUCUCUAAAGGGGCUUAUGCACUCCACUUGCUGUCUACUCAACGAGCGUAAGAGUGAGCAAGUGAAGCCCUCAAUUUAGUGGCUUCCCUCAACCUCCUCUUUCAUUUCCGCUUAAGCUUCUGCGGUUUGUGGGAUUAAUUGAUUGGAUACCCAAGACCCGUAAUCUUUUCUAGGAGGUCAGUGACUUCCUUUUUUGGGUUUAAGGAAUGGAGGUAAACACACAGAAUGCAUAUGAGCAUGAAUUUUAUCAACUGUAUGGAUAAUUGUAGGGCAAGUGAUAUUGGUUUCACUGGCUCUAAGUUUACCUGGUGCAAUAACUGAAGGCCUAGUAAAAUAUGGAAAACAUUGGACAGAGUCUUCAUUAAUGACUUACGGGCUCAAAGGUUCCAGAAAACCUUUGCCAGUUAUCUUGCUAGAAGCCUAGAAUGGUCUCAAACCAAACCCUUAUCGGUCACAUGCCUAGUUGUUUCAGAUUCCUUAAUAUUUGGGUGAACCUAUUACAGACGAAGCUCAAGGAUCGGAGUAGAAGACUAAGUCACUAGUCAAGAUGCCACAUUCUUGACAUCCAUGAACAAAUCAAGGAAUGGGCAGAACAAGUUAAAACUUUUGAAGAAUAAGACACCUUAUACAAUACAGGAUAGGGGAGAGGAGAAGCCAACAAAAUUCAUGUUGAAUACAUAAAUUGGCUUGGCAGGCAUGACUCAAUUCUAAUGCAAAAAGCAAAGUCAAAUGAUUUGGGGGAAGCAGACAGAAUUACCAAUACUUCCAUAGUAUUAUGAGGGAUAACAAGAGGACUUCACAAAGGAUCAAGAAUAGCAGGGGCAGAUGGAUUCAGAAGGAAGGAAAAGUUUCCAAGGCUGCAGUGAAAUACUUUGAGACUAUGUUGCUCAGACUCGGCGAUUAAGCCGUCGUCCCGACGCGACACUGGUGCGGACGCCGGCGUGGGAUUCAUCUGGGAUUCGUCUGGGUUCGGUCAAACGAAUCCGGAGACGUUGACCAACAUCAAGAAGAAAGUUUCCUUCGUUAUCGAAAGGGAGAAACCGGUGAAGGGAGAAAAUCGGCGACUGUGAUUAUUGUUGUCGGCGAAAGGGUUGUCGCCGGCGGAAGGGUUAUCGUCGCUAGAAUUUCGAUGGGGAAGAAAGAGAAAAUGAUAGAAUGCUCAUAUCUGUGAUUGUCGAUUGUCGCCGGCGAAACGGUUGUCUCCAGCGGAAGGGUUAUCAUUGCUGGAAUUUCGAUGUGGUGGUCCUAUUUUUGAAUAAUAAUAUUUUUUAAAAAAAUAAAUUAUAUUAAAAAGUUAAACCUAAUUUAUUUAGAUCUGGUGAGUGCUUGGCUUUUCAAAUGCUACUUCUAAUUAAAAAGAAUUUAUUUUUUCCCAUAUACAAAAAUUACUACUAUUAAUUUAAAAAGUAAGUAAAAGAAAUUACCUUAAAAGUGAAAAAAGUAAAGAAUACUUUUUUAGGAAUAAAAUUUCCUUGACACAUAGGAAAAAGUAAAUUGAAAUGACUGUUUAAAUAUGGAACUAUAUUUAUAAUAUUUAAUUUUUUUAGCCGAAUCCCCGCGCCCGUAUCCAUAAUCAGAUUCGCACCCCCGAAUCUUAAAAAUUAAUUUUUGAUGAAUCCGACUCUCGGAUACGCACCGGUCUCGGAUACCCGCACCCGAGUCCAUGCAACUUAGCUUUGAGAAACUAUUCAACCUCCCUAAUCCAAUUUUCAACUCUAUCGUUCUUGAUUGUAUUCCAUCUCUUAUUACAGAUGAUGAUAACUCUUUACUAAUUAAUCAACCCUCAUAGGAAGAAAUAAAAAAUAUGGCCUUGCAUUUCAAAUCAUGUUUUGAAUCGACCCGCACAUGUGCUGAAGCUUGAGAGUUGGGUUAUUUGAUCCAAGGAUCAGUUAGAAAUUAGUUUGGAGUCACAUAAGCAAGCUACGGGGGAACUAGGGGAGAAAAACCAGUUCAGGGAGGCAAAGCAGAAGCCAGGGUGCCGCCCAGGCCAGGGCACCGUCUUGGCCACCAAACUUUAGAGGGGCAUCAAGGGGUCCUAGCUCCGCAUGCCGUCUUGGACACCAAACUUUAGAGCCUUGAUGAUAACACUUAAAUGCCCAUUAAGCGGUGCAACACACUCAAUAAAUUUACGUCUCACUUCCGGCCUUAAGAAUGCUUUAAGUGCACCUUUAGCGCUACCGAGACCCAGGUUGAAUGGGCUUCUAGCUUAUGACUUUAACUUAAAAGUCAUAAGUUAGGAUUUCUAACUUGUGACUUUUGGUUUAUUUUUGUUAUUUUUUGUCUUAAAAACAAGUGCUUAAAAACAUUUUUUUAAAUCUUAGCCAAACACUAUAAAAGCGUUUAAAUGCUAUAUGGCUUAAAAGCACCUAAAUAAGCGAAUCCAAACAACCUAUAACUCUUUCAAUAUACUUGUUAUAUUUUAAUGUGUAUAAUAUAUCUAGUCUUAUUUUUGUUCUUCACUUGAAGAAGAAUGGAAGAAAUCACAUCAUCUUGGAGAGCAUCAAGAUGUCUUCUUAUAACUUGAGCAUCAAAAAAUAACUUUUGCACCCUACAAGCUAUAUAUAAGCUUUUCACAUGAUAUCUCAUAAUUAGGGGUGUACAUAGGUCGGGUUGGUUCGGUUUUAUCAUGUCGGUUUAUUAAAACUAUAAACCAAAUCAAACCAACAUAAAAUUGAUUUUUUUCGAUUUAGAUUUUAGUUGUUUUUUCCGGUUUUUCGAUUUUUUCGGUUUUUUUUUAUAAUCUUAUGUUUUUACAAUUAUAUUGUGAUUGAAGACUAGACCAAAUGUGUUUUUACUCAUGUGCUAAUAAAAAAUCAUAAUUAUGAAAAGAUGAGGAGCGUUAAACUCUCUUGAAACUAAAAAGUGAGAUGAAGAGUGAAAAGUUUAGGUUUUAAGUUUAUAUAGGGUUUUCAAUCAUUUAAUUAGCAAUUAAUGGACAAACAUUACAACUUAAAGGCCCAAAUCUAAAUAUAUAUCUACAUCUGCUUUUAAAUUAUUGAAAAUUACUAAAACUAGUUGAAAAAGUACUUAAAAAGUAGAUUAUAAUUAAUAUUUUAUCUAUAAAAAAGUUCGAAUAUCAUAUAAUAUAUAUAUAUAUAUAUAUAUACAGAGAGAGAGAGAGAGAGAGAGAAUGCAUAUAUAUAUAGGAUAUGAAUCAAAUAUGUAUUACUCAUAAUUUAGACAUAUUUUUAUAGCUUUACUACAACAACAACAUACCCAGUGUAGUCCUACUAGUGGGGUUCGAGCCUUACCCCUACAUUAUAAAGGUAAAGAGGUUGAUACAGUUGAACUCUCAAGUUGCCCCUUAUCAAAUAUUCCUAAAGCCGUGAAUAGUCUUUCGGAGGAAUAUCAUCUUUUUCUCAAUAGGUCCUUAACAAUAGAAGAGAUUUACAAAGAGAUUAACUCCUUUAAACCUCUAAAAGCUCCCGGUUCGGAUGGACUCCACCCUAUUUUCUUCCAAAAAUUCUGGGAGGACACAAACUUCUCCAGUAUUAGUACAUGUAUAAAAGCUUUUAUCUACAAAACUAUCCAUCUAGAUAUUAAUAAAAUACAUAUAGUCCUUAUUCCAAAAAUUAAUAUUCCUGAGCAAGUUUCACAUUAUAGACCUAUUAGCUUAUGUAACACAGUUUAUAAAUCAAUAACAAAAAUUUUGGUAAAUAGAUUCGCCCAUUCUUUGAUAAAAUCAUAAAUCCUACCCAAUGUAGUUUUAUCCCUAAUAGAAGAGCUUCCGAUAAUGCCAUCAUAGUUCAAGAAGCAAUUCACUCUUUUAAUAACACUAAAGGGAAAUAUGGAAAAAUGAUGAUUAAAAUAGACCUACGAAGGUUUUUGAUGGAAUUGAAUGGUCUUCCAUUCAUUUCUCUCUAAGUAGUCUUAAUUUCCCUAAAGAUAUGAUCAAUCUAAUAAUGGAAUCUAUUACUUCAUCUUCUAUAUCUAUUCUAAUUAAUGGCAGCCCAACAAAGUUCUUCAACCCUACGAAAAGUACUAGGCAAGGAGAUCCUCUAUCACCGUAUUUAUUCAACAUUUGCAUGGAAUCCUUGUCUAGAAUUAUAACCCAAGGUACACUCCAAAAGACUUGGUGUCCUAUAAGAAUUACUCCAUCGUCUCCACAACCUCACAUUUACUCUUUGCAUAUAACUUAAUCCUCUUAGCAAAAAGCUAAAAUUGUCAACACGAAUACUAUUAUAUCAAUAUUCAAAAUAUUUGGAGAUAUGUCAGGCCAAAAAAAUUAAUUACAAUAAAUCGAGAAUUUUUAUUCUCAAAAAACAUGAACCAUAGCACUUCAAAUUCCAUAACCUCUCUAUACAAAUAAAAACCACUCCAGAUUUUGUAUAUAUCAAGACUCAGAUGGAUAAACCCUAAAAAAAAAACAUUACCAAUUUAUAAUUGAUAAAAUGAACAACAAAUUGAACGGAUAGAAAGCAAAGUUUCUUUCACUUGCUGAAAUAACCACAUUCAUCAAAUCAGUACUUAAUUCAAUACCUACAUAUGCUAUGCAAAUCAACCUAUUACCAAAGAAUAGCAUUAACAUAUGGAUCGUAUCCAAAAAAAAUUCCUAUGGGGUUCAUCAGAUGAAAAAAGAAAAAUUCACCUUGUUAACCGGGACACAGCCACACUUCCUAAGAGUCGGGGAAUCAUAUGGGAAAAAUUCAGUUUUAAUCUCUAGCCUCAAUUGGCGGCUCAUGAAAAAUAAAUCUCACCUUUGGGUAAAGAUCUUACAAAAUAAGUACAGAAAUAGAUUCAUAAACAACGCUAUUACCUAUAAAUCAAAUGACUCCUACAUUUGGAAGAACUUGAGUAAAAAUAGUGAAUAUAGGAGAUGGAACAAACAUAAAUCUUUGGAUGGAUAGAUGGCUCUACACUAAUAAUAAUUUGAGAGAACUCAUUCAAACACCACUAUCAAUGGAAGAUUUAAACCAUAAAGUAGAUCAAAUAUUGAUUUUUGGAAGAGCACUGGCGGGGCAUCUUUGGAGUAGCUGACCAGAUUGUUUAACAUCAUUUUUAGGGUGGCAAAGAUGCCCGAAGUGUGGAGAUGGAGUACAAUGAUUCCUUUAUAUAAGAACAAGGGGGACAUUCAGAGUUGCAACUUGCAACAACUACAGGGGUAUCAAGUUGUUGAGUCAUACUAUGAAGGUCUAGGAAAGGGUGGUAGAGUUGAGCCUGAGGAGGAUCGUGACUAUUUCCGAGAAUCAGUUUAGUUUCGUGCUAGGUCGCUCGACUACCAAGGCCAUUCACCUCGUGAGGAGAUUAGUAGAGCAGUUUAGGAAGAGAAAGGACUGCACAUGCUGUUUAUCGAUCUUGAGAAGGCGUAUGACAGAGUUCCCAGGGAGAUUCUACGGAGGUGCUUAGAGGCUAGAGGGGUGUCCAGGGAGUACACUAGGUCGAUCCAGGAGAUGUACGACGGUACGAAGACUCGGGUGAGGACGGCAGGAGAAGAUUCAGAGCACUUUCCGAUUUUGACAAGGUUGCACCAGGGAUCGACUCUUAGCCCAUUUUUAUUUGACUUGGUGAUGGAUGUUUUAACGCAGCGUAUUCAAGGGAAGAUGCCUUGGUGUAUGUUAUUUGUUGUUGAUGCUGUAAUGAUUGAUGAGACUCUAGGAGGAGUUAAUGAUAAGUUGGAGCCUGGGACACAAACCCUUGAGUUUAAAUGAUUUAGGUUGAGCAGGACUAAGACGGAGUAUUUGGAAUAUAAGUUUAGUGAUUUGUCGCACGAGGCGAACGUGGUAGUGAAACUUGAUUCCUAGGUCGUUCAAAAGAGUGAGAGUUUCGAAUAUCUUGGGUAUGUGAUUCAAAGGAAUAGGGAAAUUGAUGAGGAUGUCACGCACCAUAUUAGUGCAGGGUGGUUGAAAUGAAGGAUCGCUUCGGGAGUUUUGUGUGAUAAGAAGGUGCCUCUUAAACUCAAAGAGAAGUUCAAUGGAGUCGUAGUCCGACCGGCUAUGUUGUAUGGGGCGAAGUGCUGGCCAGUUAAGAACUCCCGCAUCCAGAAGUUGAAGGUAGCAAAGAUGAGGAUGUUGCAAUGGAUGUGUGGACUUACAAGGAGGGAUGGGGUUAGAAAUGAAAUUAUACGGAAGAAUAUGGGAGUGGCUUCAGUAGAGGACAAAAUGCGGAAAGUGAGGUUGUAAUGGUUCGGUCAUGCGAUGAGAAAGGACACGAAUGCUCCAGUACGGAGGUGUGAGAGGCUGGCUAUAGAUAGUUUUAGGCGGGGUAGAGGUAGGCCAAAGAAGUAUUGGAGGGAGGUGAUUAGACAUGACAUGGAGCAGUUACAGUUUACAAAGUACAUGACCUUUGAUAGUAAGGUGUGGAGGAUGCGGAUUACGGUAAAUGGUUAGUGUGUAGGAGACGCCUGUGGUAGUAGGGAAGAGUGGUUUGUUUGCAGUUGUGACUGUAGAUUCUUGUAGUCUCUUGUUCGUGGGGUAUUAGGGAUAUCUAUGUUUUUUAGAUAGACAUUUUAUAGUAUUACCUUGUGCGUGUCUUGUUUCUGUUAUUAUCCUUUACUAUCUAGCGGUGUGAUAUCCCUUGUUAUUGCUUGCUUUUAUGUGUUUUGUUUGUUAUAUUGUUAUCUUUCCUGACCCAGGGGUCUAUCGAAAACAACCUCUAUACUAUAUCUGAGGUAGUGGUAUAGACUACGUACACUUUAUCCUCCCCAAACCCCACUUGACAGGAAUAAACUGGGUAUGUUGUUGUUGUUGAACAUGGAACCGAUCAACCAUCUCCACUCAGCUACCUCCAGGUAUAAUAGAGAUCAUAAAUAACACAUACAUCAAACUCAAAUCCAAGAUCAGAUUCCUUUUUUUGGAACACUUCGUCUAAAAGGAAUUUUUCAUCAAAAGAUGCUUACAUAAUCUCCAUAAAAUCUUUAGACAUCAUGAACUAUAAAAGUACCUUCUUUGACCACUGGAUAUGGAGAAUAAAUGCAAGCAAUAAAAUAAAACAUGUUAUGUGGCUUCUCAUAUCAAACAAACUGCCAACGGCUGACAAUCUUCAUGGAAGACAUAUUAUUAGUUCUAAUACAUGUUCAUGUACAAACACUGGAAAAUACUAAAACAUACCUUCCUUCUGUGCCUAAAGGCAAAAAGAAUUUGGGAUCACUUUAAUUUCAUCCCCUCAAAUGACCACUCGAUUAGAGAUAUUAAAAACUAUUGUGUAUCGAAAAAUUUAACCAAAUUAAGUAGUACUCCCUCUAUUUCAGAAAGAAAGACCUGCUUUCCUUUUUAGUCCGUUUAAAAAAAAAAGGCUCAUUUCUUUUUUGGCAAUACUUUAAUUUUAACUUUCCACAUGGUAAGGCCACAAGAUUAAGGGUGUGUUUGGUAUGAUGGAAAAUGUUUUCUGGAAAAUGUUUUCCAACUUUUCCUUGUUUGGUUGUAAUGAAAUGUUGGGAAAAUAUUUUCCACAACAACAUAUUUUCCUCCAUUUGAUGGAAAAUGAAAAUGACAAAUGAGACUUAUGACCCCACCCCCAUCCCUUUUCCCCACCUUAACAACACUCAUAUUCACAUGACUCAAAAAAUUUACAUUACUCGAAAAUAUUUUUCACUGUGCUUUACUUUAAUUAGGUGGGAAUACACUGGGUUUGUUGUUGUUGUUGAAAUAAAAAAAAGUGAAACCCAAAUUUUUUCCAUUUCCAAUGUUCGUUGAAUGUAUUGUUAUUUUCAUAUUCAUAGAGAAAGACUUACCUAUAUUACUAUUGCUAAUUGCAUAUUUCAACUUGUCAUCGAUGUAACUUGUUUCACGAGGUUGAAUAAGCUUGUCGUUCCGUUAUAUUUCUAUUGAUUGUAGUAUCUUGAGAUUAUCCUGACAAAAUGUUAAAAAAUAUCUCCUAUAUUUGCUAAUUAAUAGUUGCUUAAAUUUAGUGAUUGUAGUACUUUAGAAUUCGAUAUUGAUAUUAUUUGUUAUGCUUAAAUUAUUUCUUACAAAUUGUUGAGUUGUUAGAGGCACUGAUAUACUAGUUAACAAUUAAUAGUAGUAUGUUCUAAAAAAUAUUUUUUCACUCACCAAUCAAACAUUAGAAAAUAUUUUUCUAAAAAAUAUUCUCUACUCACCAACCAAACACCAUAAAAUAUUUUUCGAAAAAUAUACUUCACUCACCAACCAAACAUGAGAAAAUUAGAAAACCAACUUAUUUUCCAAGAAAACAUUUUCCAUCUACCAAACACAUCCUAAAGGAAAUUUGGUACAUUUGACACAACUUUAGUUUAAGGCCACAAAAUCCAAAAGCCUUCUAUAUUUUCUUAAACUCCGUGUCAAAUCAAAAUAGGUCAUUCUUUUUUAAACGGAGGGAGUAAUAUCUUUGUACCAUUGUCAACUAUCACUCCACUUAUUCUUCGGACCAUUUGGAGAAACCGUAACACAAUCAUUUUCAACAACUCGUCAGCACUAAUCUCUCCAAAAUUGAUUGAAAUUCAAGCUAUUGAAUAUUAUCACUUAGGCCUAUCUAAGAUCUCAAAUAAUACUAGCUGAACCUCUAAGUUAGUUAAAUGAGAACCCCCACCCUAAGUUACUCGGACUCUUCACUUUCAGUGUCGCACCCAUGUCGACACGACAUGGGUGUGGGUGUGGGAUCCGUACCUGUUCUGGUCAACCGAUUUUGGGUACUUUGACCAAAAUCGACUGGAAAAGUCCAGACAGAUUUAAGAAAUUUUGUAAUCAAAACAAAAGCUAAGGUGACAUUGAAGAAAAUGGAAUACCUUGUACAUAAAAAUUUCUAUGUUAUUGCUUUUCUUUUUAUCUCCUUCCAAGAUUUUCUUCUUGAACAAUAUUUUUUCCUCAAUUUUUUCAUGUAAUAACUCAUAAUUUAUGUUUUAUAACUCUAUUUUUAGAUAUUUAUAUAAUUUUUUGUCGAAUCCCCGCACCCAUAUCCAUUCCUAGAUCCAUAUCCCCGUAUCUUGAAAUUGAGACCGUGAAGGAUCCGACCUCUAGAUCCGUACCCGUAUCGAACACCCGCACCCGAGUCUGAGCAACUUAGCCCCCACCAAUGGGCUUCUUUAAACUAAAUAUGGAUGGUGCUUUUGAUGAUUAAAAUAAAAAUGGUGGAACAGGAGGAGCGAAUCGGAAUCAUAACGGAAAUUGAAUUUCUGGUUUUGCUCACUUUCAAAAGGCAAUAUCAACACUCCAUAUGAAAAUGUUAGCCAUUCUACUUGGGCUGAAGUUGGUUGUUGGUUGUGGGAAAGAAUUUAACUCCUAUAAUGUCUCCACUCAUAGGUACUUGUACAAAUGCUAAAAGAUAAUAGCCGGAGUUUCUCAAAUCUAUUAUUGGAUUGCAGGUCACUCAUCGCGGAUCUAGAUGAACCUCAAAUUCGCCAUGCCUACUGGGAGACAAAUGUUAUGGAAAAUAAACUUGUUGUGUUUGGAAAGCGCCAAAGUCAAAGAAUGCAAAACGAUGUUGUAACAUUUGAUUCCCCGUCCCCCUUUAUUUUGCAAGAACCAUUUGGAACUUCCAGAUAGUUCCUUGUGUGUAAUAAACUCUAUGUUUUGAUUCAAUAAAUCAUCAUUCCGAAGCAAAAAAAAAAAAAUGAUGCCUUAACAAUCACACAACUACAUUAUUAUCAAAACUUUAUAUCCAAGAACAAACAUCAAGAAUCCCCAAUUUCCCCAAUUUCCCGGGAAAUGAUUUCCUAUGACAUGAAAAUCUAACACUUCUACCGCAAUACAAAAUCGAUAUCUCUGUAUUAGUACCUAUUGUAGUAAGUGUUGUAAAUGGAUAUGAAGAUGUAAAACAAAAGUCUUACAUAAACGACAACUUAAAGCGAUGACACAACAAUUUUACAAUGAAAAUUUUAUAUUGAAAAAAUAUAUUAUAUCCUUUACUUCCUGGGACAUCGAUCACUGUUUCGGACAUGAAAAUUCUAACAUCUGUCGUCACUUCCACACGUGACAAAUAACUCCAUAGUAGUACCUGUAAGACUUAAGCUAUUCACACGAUGAUGUGGCCUGGAUACUUUUGUAACAAUUUCACUCAUAGUUUAUGAUUCUUCUAUACAGGUUGUUGAAAAUAUGUCAGAAAUAAAGUAAAAGCAAAUAAUUAUUAGUAGUUUUAAAUUGUUAGAGUUUUAUGUGGAUUAGACUUAGAAUUAGUUAUCCCUUUUUUAUUUGAAUUAGGAAUUAGUUAUCAUUAUUUGAAUUGAAGUCUAGUUAGAAAUUUAAAUAUAAAUAUAUGUCUUUGAGUUAUUAAUAAAAUAAUUCCCUUUGAUAAUACAAUUGCAGUAUCUUUUCUCUCCAAGUCUCUCUUUGUUAUUUCUUUAAUUUCAAAGCCAAAAACCAACAAUUGGUAUCUAGAGACAAUUUUCUUGAAGGAUCUGUGAGAGAGAUGAAUUCUGAAAACAACUUCUCCCAAACAGCUGCUCCUAUCUUUGAUGGUGAGAAUUACCAUCUUUGGGCAGUAAGAAUGGAGACUUAUCUUGAGGCCUUAGAUCUUUGGGAGGCCGUGGAGGAGGAUUAUGAUGUUCUUCCGCUGCCCGAUAAUGCCACGGUGGCCCAGAUCAAAAGCCAAAAGGAAAAAAAAUAAGAAAAUCAAAGGCAAAAGUAACUUUGUUUGCUAGUGUGUCUCCAACAAUUUUCACGAGAAUUAUGGCCCUUAAAUCAGCAAAAGAAUACACAGGAGAUGGAAGAAUAAAGGCAUGAAGGUGUUGAAUCUAAUAAGGAAAUUCGAAUUGCAAAAGAUGAAGGAAUCUGAGACCGUUAAAAAGUACUCAGUCCGACUUCUUGACAUUGUUAACAAGGUACGAUUGCUUGACACAAAAUUUAAAGAUUCAAGAAUUAUUGAAAAAGUUCUUGUUAUGGUGCCUGAAAGAUAUGAAGUAUCAAUAACUACCUUGGAAAACACAAAAGACCUAUCCAACAUUACCUUGGCAGAAUUGCUAAAUACAUUGUAGGCACAAGAGCAAAGAAGGCUUAUGAGACAAGAUGGUAUGGUUGAAGGAGCUUUGACAACUAACCACAAGACUCAAAGCAAGGGUAAUAAUUCAAAAAAAAACUACCCACCUUGUCAGCACUGUGGAAAAAUAGGCCAUUCUCCAUUUAAAUGUUGGAAGAAACUAGAUACACAAUGCAAGAUCUGCAUUCAACUUGGCCAUAAAGCCGUGAUUUGCAAAAACAAAUCUAAAAAAUAAAAAGCAGAUGCCCAAGUCACCAAAGAAGAAGAAGAAGAUCACUUAUUUGUGGCAACAUAUUCUUCAACCAAGAAACCUGAUUUUUGGAUGAUUAACCGUGGUUGUACAAACUACAUGACAUAUGACAAAACUCUUUUUAAAAAGUUUCUGCCUUUGGAGAAUAAGAAAAUCAAAACUAGGAAUGGUGACUAUAUUCCUGCAGAAGGAAAAGAGAAUGUUGCAAUCUAAACAAUUUCAGGUACAAAAAUAAUUUCAAAUGUCCUUUAUGUGCCCGAUGUUGAUAAAAGUUUGUUAAGUAUUGGUCAGCCAAUGGAAGAAGGAUUUAAACUAUUGUUUGGAGAUAAAUAUUGUUGAAUCUUUGAUUCCACUAAUCAUGAGAUUUUACAAGUUGAUAUGAGAGGCAAAACUUUCUUAUUUAAUCCAACAGAAGAUGCAACAAACCUUGCAAGACCAAAGAUGAAUUGGUAGAUCUAUUCAAGAGGUUAAAAUCAACUGAGACUGCA
rnacentral:lncRNA from 1 species